rnacentral:rRNA from 1 species
UACGUAGGGUGCAAGCGUUAAUCGGAAUUACUGGGCGUAAAGCGUGCGCAGGCGGUUGUGCAAGACAGAUGUGAAAUCCCCGGGCUUAACCUGGGAAUUGCAUUUGUGACUGCACGGCUAGAGUGUGUCAGAGGGGGGGUAGAAUUCCACGUGUAGCAGUGAAAUGCGUAGAUAUGUGGAGGAAUACCGAUGGCGAAGGCAGCCCCCUGGGAUAACACUGACGCCUGAGGAGCGAAAGCGUGGGGAGCAACAGG